GAGUUUGAUCCUGGCUCAGGACGAACGCUGGCGGCGUGCCUAAUACAUGCAAGUAGAACGCUGAAAUAAGAGCUUGCUCUUAUGGAUGAGUUGCGAAUGGGUGAGUAACACGUGGGGAACCUACCUUCUAGCGGGGGAUAACACAUAGAAAUGUGUGCUAAUACCGCAUAAUAGUAUUUGAUGCAUAUCAGAUACUUGAAAGGCGCAAUUGCGUCACUAGAAGAUGGCCCCGCGGUGCAUUAGCUAGUUGGUGAGGUAACGGCUCACCAAGGCAAUGAUGCAUAGCCGACCUGUAGAGGGUGAUCG
rnacentral:rRNA from 1 species